rnacentral:rRNA from 1 species
UUGCCCUAGUAACGGCGAGUGAAGCGGCAACAGCUCAGAUUUGAAAUCUGGCGUCUUUGGCGUCCGAGUUGUAAUCUGUAGAGGAUGCUUUUGGGUAGCCACCGGUCUAAGUCCCCUGGAACGGGGCGUCACAGAGGGUGAGAAUCCCGUAUGUGACCGGAAGGGCGCCCUCUACAUAGCUCCUUCGACGAGUCGAGUUGUUUGGGAAUGCAGCUCUAAAUGGGAGGUAAAUUCCUUCUAAAGCUAAAUACCGGCCAGAGACCGAUAGCGCACAAGUAGAGUGAUCGAAAGAUGAAAAGCACUUUGGAAAGAGAGUUAAAAAGCACGUGAAAUUGUUGAAAGGGAAGCGCUUGCAACCAGACUUGUUGGCGGUGUUCCGCCGGUCUUCUGACCGGUUUACUCACCGUCUGCAGGCCAGCAUCAUCUGGGGCCGCUGGAUAAAAGCGAGGGGAAUGUGGCUCCCCCGGGAGUGUUAUAGCCCCUCGUGCAAUACAGCGAGCCUCGGGUGAGGUCCGCGCUUCGGCUAGGAUGCUGGCGUAAUGGUCGUAAGCGGCCCGUCUUGAAACACGGACCAAGGAGUCUAACAUCUAUGCGAGUGUUCGGGUGUCAAACCCCUACGCGUAAUGAAAGUGAACGGAGGUGGGAGCCUUAGGGUGCACCAUCGACCGAUCCUGAUGUCUUCGGAUGGAUUUGAGUAAGAGCAUAGCUGUUGGGACCCGAAAGAUGGUGAACUAUGCCUGGAUAGGGUGAAGCCAGAGGAAACUCUGGUGGAGGCUCGCAGCGGUUCUGACGUGCAAAUCGAUCGUCAAAUUUGGGUAUA